CCAAGGUCUGACUCGCCUGUUGUUUUUCCCCCCUCCUCUUGAACCAUGCUUACAAAGAAAAAGAGCAACCCUUCCCCACGUAGUACCAGCAGGGUAACCUGAGAACAUCCAUUUAGCGCGUCUGUCCCUGUGAAAAGGACCUUUCAGUGACACCAAGCUGAGUGUAUCCCACUCUAUUUAUAGGCACUGUUUGUUUAAUUCGAGUCCCGUCUCUAAGAAUAAAUAAUGAACUCAUUCUGGGGGCCAGCCAGAGCCUACAACUCUGUGACGAACCUGUAAAUCCCUUUCUCUUUCCUUCUGGUUCUGAAAGGGGUUCUCUAACUCAGAGACACAAAGAGACCCAUUUGGACUCAGAUCCCUCAGUAAGGAAGAUGUGGCCGUGGAGAAAGAGGACCCCUUUCCAUACCCUCCCGACCUGGUAGCAGGGCCUGGGGCCAGACUGUCUCACAAGGAAGUGUGUCUUCGAGUUUCCAUUAGCUGCUCUGGGUCAUACACACUGUCACCUGGCUGUCCUGAGGACUGUCACAGGCCGGUAGGUCUCAGUUACCUUAGGGAGAGUUUGUGUCCAUGGAGAGCAUGGGGAUUCCUUUCGAGGCAUCAGCUUGCUGAAGUUCUGACAUUGACUUAUGGGUCUGCUAGAGACAGGGUGAAAUCUUUUUCUUAUGGGACGUUCUUCUCACUCUGUCUCAUUGGGUCAAGGAGUAAAGAGUAUCAUCAUCACAUGUUUUCAUGGUCUUACUUGUGAAUGGUAGUCUGCCCACUAUACUUAGAGAUCUGGAUGGGAAGAUGGCCACACAUUCCCCUCUGCAGUUUUAUGCCUUCAAAUGUUCACAUACACCGGCUUUGGAAGUGGAACUUGUCACAGAAGCAGUUGGCACCCCCAGGUAUCUUUCUGGAUUCAUUUUGGUGCAACUUUGAGUCAAUCCUUUCAGCAGUAAGCUCUUUAUUUGAAAAGUAGUAUAUAUUAUUUCUUUUAUGCCGAGCGUUUUGGUAGGAACCAAAUUUAAAAAGCCUCUUGAUGAGGGUUAAAGAGGAGAGUAAAAAAGCUGGCUUAAAACUCAACAUGGAAAAAACUAACAUCUGGCAUCCAGUCUCAUUGCUUCAUGGCAAAUAGAUGGGGAAAAGUGGACAUGGUGGCAGAUUUUAUUUUCUUGAGCUCCAAAAUCACUGCGGAUGGUGACUGCAGCCAUAAAAUUAAGAUAUUUGUUCCUUAGAAGAAAAGCUAUGACAAACCUAGACAAUGUAUUAAAAGGCAGAGACAUCACUUUGCCAACAAAGGUCUGUAUAGUCAAAGCUAUAGUUUUUCCAGUAGUCAUGUAGGAAUGUGAGAGUUGGACCAUAAAGAAGGGUGAACACUGAAGAACUGAUGCUUUCAAACUGUGGUGCUGGAGAAGACUCUCGAGAGUCCCCUGAAAUCAACCCUGAAUACUCACUGGAAGGACUGAUGCUGAAACUGAAGGUCCAAUACUUGGGCCACCUGAUGAGAAGAGCUGACUCACUGGAAAAGACCCUGAUGCUGGGAAAGAUCGAGGGCAGGAGGAAAAGGGGGUGAACAGGAUGAUAUGGUUGGAUGGUAUCACUGAGGCAAUGGACAAGACUUUGAGCAAACUCCAGGAGAUACUGAAGGACAGGGGAGCCUGUUGUACUGCAGUCCAUGGGGUUGCAAAGAGUCAGACCUGACUGAGCAACUGAAAGUGAAAGUGAAAGUCAUUCAGCUGUGUCCAACUCUUUGCAACCCCAUGGGC
ensembl:lncRNA